CGGGAAGCCAGCAAGACUAUACUUUCAGGGAUCAUUUCUAUAGUUCGUU
rnacentral:sRNA from 1 species